AGAGGAAGUAAAAGUCGUAACAAGGUUUCCGUAGGUGAACCUGCGGAAGGAUCAUUAUUGAAAUUAUAGGCGAGGGUUGUAGCUGGCCUCCCGGGGCAUGUGCACGCCUGAGCCCUUAAUCCCACACACACCUGUGAACCUAUUGUAAGGGCCCGUAAAAAAGGCCUUUACGUCUUUAUCACCUACACGAAAGUCUCAAUAGAAUGUAAAUGUAAUGUCCUCGCCUUAAAAAAGCGUUGAUAAAAAAAAAAGUUAUACAACUUUCAACAACGGAUCUCUUGGCUCUCGCAUCGAUGAAGAACGCAGCGAAAUGCGAUAAGUAAUGUGAAUUGCAGAUUUUCAGUGAAUCAUCGAAUCUUUGAACGCACCUUGCGCUCCUUGGUAUUCCGAGGAGCAUGCCUGUUUGAGUGUCAUUAAAUUCUCAAACUCUGAUUGAUUUUGUUUCGGUCAGAGCUUUGGAUUUGGAGCGUGCUGGCGUCAGUCGGCUCCUCUUGAAUGCAUCAGCGGAAUCCCAUUCAUUUCGGACGUCAGUGUGAUAAUCAUGUUGCGCUGUCUCUUGCCGAUCUUGAAAGCCCGCUCACAAUGGUCUUCGGACAAACCUCACAUAUCAAAUUUGACCUCAAAUCAGGUAGGACUACCCGCUGAACUU
rnacentral:rRNA from 1 species